ensembl:snRNA U6 U6 spliceosomal RNA
AUGCUUCAGCAGCACAUAUAUUAAAAUUGGAAAUGAUACAGAAAAGAUUAUCAUGGCCCCUGUGCAAGGAUGACAUGCAAAUCUGUGAAGCAUUCCAUAUGUUU